UACAAUUAAUUGUUAUAGAAUUUUUCUAGUAACUUAAAAGGCUCGUUAAAUUUAUUGAUAAUCAUGAAUGUUAGAUUUAAACAAUUAUAAAGUAUAACUGUCUACAAAAUGUAGAAAUUGCCUGCUGUAGUCGGGUCUUAGCUGUUUUGGUUGACAAUCUGACAUAUAUAUUUCGUACUCUAUGGUGUAUUGAUAUACCAAGUCUAUAAAUUUGGUAUAUUCAAAGCUUUUAUUAAGAAUGGGUAGCGGGUAUCGUAAGGUUGAGCACACUCGUAUGGAGCUUUCUUACUUGUUUCUAUUAUAUAAACAAAACCCGUUGGAAUAAUAAAAGCUUCAAAUUCCAAAUGUAAUAGUGUGAUUAAUAAAUUUAUUUAAGAAAAUCUUCUUAAAUAAAGACUACAAAUUCGAAAUGUAAUAGGGCAAUCUUGUUAUUCAAUAUAUGUGACGAAGUAAAUGUUAACCAAUUAUAUAAAAAUAUAUAUUCGUUAAUGAUGUGGUAAAUUUAAAUUUAAUGCUAAUUACUAAAUUAUUGCACAAGUCCUAUAAAAGGCAACACACCAAAAGCUUCUCAGUCAAUUCUAAAAUAAUCAGCAGAAAUGAAACUCUUGGCGUUAGUAUUGGGUCUGAUUCUCAUUUGCGUGACACGCGAUCCGUAUAAUUCAAUAGACUUUAAAUAAUUUAACGUACAAAAUGAAUUUGUAAGAAAAGCAUUUUUUUCUAAUUGCACACUUACACUAAAAGUACGUAAUAAACAUAUAUUGGUUUUUAAA